rnacentral:rRNA from 1 species
GAUGAACGCUGGCGGCGCGCCUAACACAUGCAAGUCGAACGAUUAAAGCACCUUCGGGUGUGUAUAAAGUGGCGAACGGAUGGGUAACACGUAGGCAACCUGCCCCUCUAAUAGGGAGAGCCAAGGGCAACAGAGGGUAAUACAGAAUACAUCGGGACUUCAGCAUGGAGGACCCGUAGAAGACCCGGCGGUGUGGGAUGGGCACGGGGCCAGCUGGGUUGCUGGAGGGGUAAGGGCCUACAAAGGCAAAGAUGGGUAGCUGGGUCGAGAGCUCGACCACCCAGCUUGGGCCUGAGACACGGCCCAGACUCCUACGGGAGGCAGCAGGCGGGAGCCUUGCACAGUGGGCGCACGCCUGAUGCAGCGACGCCGCGUUCGGGAUGAAGGCUUUCGGGUUGUAAACCGCUUUCAGCAGGGACGAGGCGAAAGUGACGGUACCUGCAGAAGAAGCCCCGGCUAACUACGUG